rnacentral:sRNA from 1 species
UUAAAAUACGCAAAUAUGAUUUAUUCAAUAUCAAUCUUAACAGGUUACAAAAGAUGACAGGACCAUUGUUUAAUUACUAAACAGCUAAAUAUUGUAGAAUUAACGGACUGAUACAAAACAGUGCGAAUGUAGCAGUCUGCAUUCAAUGUUCACGUUCUUCAGCCGCAAUUUUCAAUCCACAAUCCAGUCUGCAUUUAGAUCCUGAAAUUGAGAAAAAGUUUGACAGUUGGUAGUUUGAAAAAAAAUUAGAGUUUAUGUGAUUGUGAUGUGAUGAAAAGUUGGGAAUUUGGAGGAAGAUUGAUGUGAACUAAACAGGGCCCCAAUCCACGUUUAGUUCACACACAACUUCCCCCAAUCUCCCAACUUUCCAUCGCAUCUCCAUCACAUCAUGGUAGGUUCAUGGUAGGUUGUUGUAUCCACAGAUGCAGCACUACAGCAAGAUCAGUUCACGCUCAAGUUUAACACAAAUAGAAAGACGGGCUGUUAAGAUAGACAAAAUCAGAGAACAUAAAUUAUAUCAAAUAUGGCAAAAUAAAUAAAUCUUUAGUAACCGUUUUUGAGAUGGGUGCGUAAAGGCCGUCAGUUAGGAGCGAAAGACUAUUUAUUCAAAGUAAUCAUAACCACUAGGGUUUGAUCAUCUGAACUAUGCAUUUUUGCUCAUCACUCGACCUUGCAACCAAUUUACAUCCACAUCGGCAUCAAACCUCUUAAAAAAUCAUAGUUUUUAAAACCAUAUCAAAAAUCAAAAUAAGAUUUUUAGUCAGAUCCAAACAAUGAUAAGAGACCUCAGAAGGAAGGCAGUAGUAGGGUAUGUCCUCACAAGAUUUCAGAGAGAAAGGUUUCCACAUUGAUCAUCAUAGGCCUCAAAAGUAAACGAAAAGGAUAAAGAUGACGAAAAAUACAACACAAUGACAUGCAUCAAUAAAUCUGACCUCAUAGAGAAGAUUAGGCUUUUCCACAUGAAAAUUCAGACAUAUGCUUGUCUAUAUUUUAAUCUAAUCAUCGGCCAAUAUAACUGCACAAUGAAUCCAAAAGAAGAGCCAAACGAAAGAAAAUCACCAAAGAAGAUCUGAUCUCAUGAGGAAUCGAAAAUUGAUUUGGUUACAGAGGACUCGGAAUAUGGGUGGUGAUAUAUCAGGAUGGUCGGCAAGGCAAAAACAAUUUGCCAGUUACGACGAACGAGACCAAUAGAUACGAUCUUCACCGUCCUCGACACCAAAAACACAAAUCAAAUCCCCCACUCGAACAACGAAAAAGUAAAUUAACCAUUGCAAAAUACCUGGCAAAGGAAAAACCAAACGGAAAGAACAAGAUCUGAAAUCGCAGAUCAACCCGAGACGAGCGAACAAGAAGAGGAAGCAGAUGCAACCAUGCGAAAGAAGAUAGAUAGCGGCGUGGAGGAUGAAGAU